UACGUAGGGUGCAAGCUGUCCGGAAUUAUUGGGCGUAAAGAGCUCGUAGGCGGUCUGUCGCGUCGGCUGUGAAAACCCGGGGCUCAACCCCGGGCCUGCAGUCGAUACGGGCAGACUAGAGUGCGGUAGGGGAGACUGGAAUUCCUGGUGUAGCGGUGAAAUGCGCAGAUAUCAGGAGGAACACCGGUGGCGAAGGCGGGUCUCUGGGCCGUAACUGACGCUGAGGAGCGAAAGCGUGGGGGAGCAAACAGG
rnacentral:rRNA from 1 species